rnacentral:rRNA from 1 species
UACGGGGGGGGCAAGCGUUGUUCGGAGUUAUUGGGCGUAAAGGGCGCGUAGGCGGGUGACUAAGUCAGAUGUGAAAGCCCCCGGCUUAACCAAGGAAGGGCAUGGGAUACUAUUUGGCUUGAGUAGGGGAGAGGGCAGUCGAAUUGCUGGUGUAGAGGUGAAAUGCGUAGAUAUCAGGAGGAAAACCGGGGGCGAAAGCGACUUCCUGGACCCAGACUGACGCUGAGGCGCGAAAGCGUGGGGAGCAAACAGG